AUGAUGAUCGGUGUCGCAGGCUUCAGCCGGCACAUCGGCCAGCUCUUGAGUAAAAGCAACGGGUUUAUUGCGGCGUCCCUGUCCGCGGCGAGCUGCGCGGACGAGGCGGAGAAGGCCGAGGGCGCGGGGUGCCGGGACGACGCGGCGGCGCUGAGGCUCAAAUGGAUUGCCAUGGCGGCGAUACUGGUGUCCGGGGUAAUGGGCGUGGGCCUGCCGCUCGCGGGGCGGAAGCGGCGGACGGUGCAGACCGGCAGCGCUGUCUUCGUGGCCGCCAAGGCUUUCGCGGCCGGCGUGAUCCUGGCCACGGGGUUCGUCCACAUGCUGCACGACGCCGAGCACGCGCUCUCCAACCCCUGCCUCCCAGCCGGGCCCUGGCGGCGGUUCCCGUUCCCCGGGUUCGUCGCCAUGCUCGCUGCUCUCGCCACGCUGGUGCUCGACGUCCUGGUAACCAGGUUCUACGAGACCAAGCACCGCGCGGAGGUAGCUCGGGUCAAGGCUGACGCCGCUGCCGCACUCGCCGCCGCGUCCACCUCCGCCAGCGACGAAGACAUCACUGUGGUCACCGUCGUCGAGAGUGAGCACAAGGUCCCGCUCUUGCAAGCCCACUCCCAUUCCCACGCGCAGUCGCAUGGUCACGAGCUGAUGCAACCACAAGGACGCGAGGGGGAGGUGUCAGACCACGUGCGCUCCGUCGUGGUAUCACAGAUACUGGAAAUGGGGAUUGUGUCGCACUCGGUGAUCAUUGGGCUGUCGCUUGGGGUGUCUCGGAGUCCCUGCACAAUCAGGCCACUGGUGGCAGCGCUCUCAUUCCACCAGUUCUUCGAGGGGUUUGCCCUCGGUGGGUGCAUUGCGCAGGCUCAGUUUAAGAACCUUUCGGCAGUCAUGAUGGCGUCAUUUUUUGCCAUUACAACACCAACUGGUAUCGCCGCUGGGGCCGGUCUGUCCUCAUUUUACAACGCCAAUAGCCCCAGGGCUCUAGUGGUUGAAGGCAUCCUCGAUUCUGUGUCGGCCGGCAUACUCAUAUACAUGGCGCUGGUGGAUCUAAUCGCAGCCGAUUUCUUGGGUGGGAAGAUGACAGGGUCGCCACGGCAGCAAGUGAUGGCCUAUGUCGCCCUGUUCCUAGGUGCGCUCUCAAUGUCAUCGCUUGCAGUUUGGGCCUGA
rnacentral:rRNA from 1 species